GUAGUCACCGGGUGCUGGCGACUCACAUAAGCUUGUUGCAAACCGGAGGCUGAAAGGAGGCCCGAUUCUCUUCUACCCAAGACUUCACUCUCACACGGCGUUCCAUGGCCGGCAGGCAGGACUCUUCUGCCCACAACGUGGUGGCCAGGUAAUCGGGAGGUUGGAGUGAUGCGAUCUGCGACCUGCGAUCUGCGCAGUCUCCUGUUGGCCACCUAGUUAAUUAGGUUACCAGAGGUCAAAGAGCUGAGCAAUCCCCUGCCACUCUGAGGGGGCAGCUCUAGAGUCUGAGACUACUUGCCCUGCCCCUGCACACACGCCGGAGCAGGGAUCAAAGCCCAAGAACAGACCCGCCUCCUGGGACAUGGCCAGCAUCCUCCCAACACCUAGUUGCUCUGGACCGAAGCUGGACUCUGGUACCUACUGGGCCCAUGUAAGAUGCAGGACGCUGGGCUUUCAGCUUUUCGGGUUUCUUCUUCUGCCCUGCCUCUAAAGAAACAUUGUGUUGGGAGAAUAAAGGUUUGAAAAUCGGA
rnacentral:lncRNA from 1 species